UUUUUUUUUUUUUUUUAAAGCUCUUUAGGGUCUGUCUUUUCUUUCCUUGUAGGGUUAACAUUUCACAGGUAUGCGGCCUGACAUUUUAAUUGCUCGAAUAAAGCAUCUCGGAUGCUGAGAAGCAGACACAGACUUCAUCUCGUUGUCAUGACGCAAUUAAAAUAAAUUUCCCCUCAACUUUAUCCUGUCGCCUUGGUUUGGGCUAAAAUCGCCAGCCAGCCUCCUGCCCGGCGCCCAGGCAGGGCGAGAGGGGGUAAGGCUGGUGUUUGCCCGCUGAUGGGCGAGCUGAGGCCGCCUCCAGCCUCGCCCGUGUGUACCCUCCGCACACACAUGGAAGUUACACGGAUGAGACGCACAUUUGUCAAUGUUCACAGACAAAGACUUCAGCCACUGCACUUCCAGGUCCACAGUUGAGUGCGGACUUCAUUGUUCCUUGAGUUUCCUUUUAAAAGCGUUCACAUCGCCAUUAAAACACAUCUAGGGGGUCGGCCCCAAACUGGGGACCAGACCAGCACACUCACAGGAGCCACACACAGGGCCAUCGUCUACCCCAGGAAAUCCAAUGAGGCCAUCUCCAUGGCCCCGGCCAUUCUGUUCCACGCGCUGUGCCUCUGAAUUACUGGGCGCUGGGUUAUACACAUCAAACAUCUAGAAAUUCCCCCCAAUCCAGCUCCGAGAUCUCACACUAAUCCCACACACCUCUCUGUGUGAUCAGGAGAAGUUAGCUCCAUAUUUAUGAAAGAAAACUGUGACUCCGGCACACACACUUGGCACCAGGAAAAAACCCUGUAUGUUGGUCAGCCAGCCAGGUCUCUGAACAAUUAAGAUGUUUCACAUACAACACGCUGAGCUGCAGGAAACGUGGACACAGAAAUAGUCAGGGGCAACCGAGAGAAAGUAUCCUUGAUCAUUCAAAAAAUAAAUCAAAUCAAAUCUAAAGGAUGGAGAAUGGUUUAGAGAAAUUCGCCACGCAUGAAACUGACAUGUGCAGGUUGCAUGUUGCAUGUUGCAUUCCAUGCUCUCUACACCCACAGGCAGAAGAUAAGGUGGAGAUGUAGGCAGACAAGGGCUAAUUUUAAGGGGAGAGAGAGAGAAAAAAAAUCAUCUUUCCGCUUCAUUUCUGAAACCUUCUGAGCUCUCGCCCUUCCUCCGCUGAAACCACAUAGUUCAGGAAACAGUGAAUGUUCUGGAAGGUGGGGGGGGGGGAGAAUUCUCCAUGUUUGAUGCAGGUGCUGGGAUUAUUUGAAAGUUGUAAAAAAAAACCAAAAAACCAAAAACACACAAGAAAAACACAAACCGAGGGUGGACAGGGACCUGCCUUAAGCCUGGUGUGUAAGGAGGUUGACAGACCUAAGGCAGGCUGGGAAUUUUAGGCUGAUUAUAGGCACAAUGUAACUUUCUCCUGAGGGGAACAGGAAGCAUGGAAAAGAAAUUAUUCCAGAAAAGUAUCUCCCCCACCUUCAGCCUCUGGGAUUGGAGAAAUCGCCUGAUGUUGCCAAUGUCAGAAGAUCAGAACUCCUUCGAGUUGUGGUGGGAAUGGGAGUGAGGAGGGACCCUCUGGGCCAUUCCCAUCUCGGGGUAAUGGAUGAGAGAAUAAUUGAUGCCGGGGAAUCUUAAGCUCGCCUCUGAGCCGCCUUCUACAAACAGGCAGGUCUCCCCCAGACCAGUUUGAGGAAACUGGGGGGGUUGGAACUCCAGUUUGAUGUCCUCAGAUUUAAAAUGGAGAAUUUUACCAGCCGUCCCCAAGAGAACCAGACCCCGGAGCCUGCUAGGCUCAGGGCUUCCAGAAAGUCAGAAGUGUUUUGACUCUGUAUUUUGGGACCCAUUCACCCUUAGGCAGGGGCCAAUAACAAGCAAAAAAAAAAAAAAAAAGUAUUAAUUGCAGUUAAUUCUACUGUAAGGAAGGACUGCAGACUGAGAAGAAAAACAAGAGAGAAAUAAUUAAAAAUGUCUUACUUAGCGAUGCUUAAUUCUCUGAAACACAACAGCUCUGAGACUGACCGAUAAACACCAAUACAUUGAGACCGGUUUGAAGAAGAAAAAAAAUAAAUCCAGCCCAGCCUUUUAUUGCAGAUGUAAAUUUAUUUUAAUGAGAUAAACGGCAAGCAGUUCCUUUGGGGUGGGGGGAAAGUUGGAAAGACACUUGUCUUAACUCUGGGAAGCCAAAGGCCAGCACGGGGGACCCACGCGGGACUGGGGUUGCCUUACAGAGACACAGCCUGACCGUUAGGAUCCUCGGGAGACUCAGUGGCCACGGGCCGCGCAGACCCCAGCCAAACGCUGAGUUGCACUCCCAGCUCGCCCUGUCCGCCAGGAUGCACGGAAUCCCUCCUAUCCCUCCAUCUCCCCGCUGUGUGCUUUUUCCUCUCCAGCUCCCUGAAUGCAAGACGGGGGCGCUGCCAUUGUGUGCCUCUCCACUCCCAAGUCAAUGCAAUUUCUAAACCGCUGGCUUGUGGUACUUUGAAUAUCACCAGGGGCUGUCAGAGUGAGGUCCCCUGAAAAAUUUACAGUGCUAAAUCAGAGCAUAUGCCGGGAGGGGAAGGAAGAAGAAGAAGAAGAAGAAAAAAAAAAUCCGCUGGAGAGAGAUCGGAGCAAGUGCAGUAUCCGUCUGCCCCCUAGUGUAAGAGUCCUCGCUGCCUGCGGAAACCCAACUUUGAGAGAAAAGGGGGUCUUAAAGGGAAAACGGCUGGAGGCUCGCGUCCUGAGAUGAAACUUCGGGGCGUUUGAAUGGGGAGCGCUCGCGCCCCGGGAUUUCAAAUGAAUGGGUUCCGGCUGGCUGGGCCCGGACCCUCCUGUCGCCACCUCUUGCGCCUCCGUGUCACUGGUGGCGAGGACCUGUGCCUGGGACAUGCUGGACACGGCCCAGGAUGGCUUCCUUAAGCCAGCAGCCCGCCACGGUGGCAACAGACAGCCAAAAGGUACGCGAUCUGCCUGCAGCCCCGCGGCGCUAGCCCGCCGGACGGUGAGUACCCCGCUUGGUCGCGAUCGUCCCCCUGGCCCGGCCCGGCCCGGCGCUGGCUCCCCAGAGCCCGGCCCGGGCUCUCCUGCCUGCCUCCCUCCCUCCUGUCACUUGCACAAGGUUGCAAAGACUCGGCUCGGCGGCCGAUCGCCCGGGAAAUCCGCGAGCCUAGCGGCUCCUCCGCCCGCAGACCGGGGCAGCGGCUCCCAGGCCGGCUGGCUCUCCGGGAGGCGAUGGGCUGGAGCUGGCAGGCAGGCAGGAGGGGCGAGGGGCGGCCCCUCGGUCUGUCCCCCUCCGGUUUGACCACAUUCUGGCACCUCCGUGAUCGUAUUUUACCCCCCUCGCCCCCCCUCCACCACACACAUGUAAUAAAAUAUGGCAAUGCAAUGAAUCGACUGUUCCCCCCCCCCCUUUCUCCCAAACCCCAUAGACCGCAACCCGAGGCAUUUCAUACACAUCAGCAAGACGGCUAUUAUUAUUAUUAUUAAUUAUUAUUGGGAAAAAAAUUCCCAGAGUCAUCCCCAACCCCACGCGGCGCGAGGAGGAAAGUGAGAAAGCGGAGAGAGACAGAGAGAGGGGAGGAAAAAAAAAUGCUGGAAGCCAACAUACCAAAACCAUAUUUGCCUUGUUCAAGAUCCCAAAUGGCUUGCAUCUUCCUCUUACCAACUGCAGGGACUGUCUCUCCUUUGAGUUUGGCGGGCGGAACGCGCGCUUUGUUGGACCCCUGAAAUGAUGUGUCUUGGGAUAAUUAAAAAAAAAGAGAGAGAGAGAGAGACUCUCUUCCUCGGUGUUUAUCUAAGCGAUUGUGCAAACUGAUAAAAAAAAAAAAAAGGAGAAAAAGUGGGCGAUCGCUGAUCGCUGGCUUGCUCGCUGGCUCGCCCGCGGGGAAGUGGAGGGAGGACAGGCGGUGGCGGUGGCGGCCGGAGCGCUGGUCUACCCCGGGGGCAAGCGGCUCAGCCCUCGGAGCGCCCUGCGCCGCUAACUUUAGAGGCAGCAGCCUUCCUGGAGCUGGUGCAUAGCUGCUGAGGAAUGCGAGCCUCGCCUUUAAGAAAAAAAAAAGAGAGAGAGAGAGAGGGAAAAAAAAAAAAACACGCGCACACACACCAGCCCCAAACCCUAGGUAGGUGUCUGGAGUGAUCCUUGUCUCUCAUCUCAUUCCUUAGAAGGAAGAGUGCGCGUUACACCUUGUUUGGGGCUGGAAAGACGAGACUUUCAAAACCCCCGUCCAAUUGG